CUGAAGUUUUUCUUUUAACAGAGGCUUAGCAAUGGAAUUAAGGGGGUGGGGAGGCUGUCCUUUUGGUGAAUUUUUUUUUUUUUUUUUUUUUACGGCUGCACCAAAUGCUUUUCCAGAAGUUUUUGUCCUCUCUUUGAGCACUUGGAAAGCCUGUGCCCUUUGUAACCACCUGCCAGGCCUUGCAAGGUAGAAAGGCAUCUACAUUCAGAGAAACCUUCUGAGGCCCUCCUGAUACAAAGAUAAUCCAAGGGGAGUCCCAAUGUCAGCCUGAGAUGAGAGGAUCUUCCAGCCUCUUGGGACCUUCUCUCUGAUCAGCUUUCUCAGCGAGGUUUCUCAGUGCCACUAGUCACUCUUCUCCUUGCCUUGAUGGUGCCCCACCAAUUGGUAGCUAUCUUCUCACUUUUGGCCACUCCUCAGGCACUUUUUGUGUAGUUCAUGAUGCCCUAAGAGAUUUUAAACUGUCUGUAACACUGGCAAGAGCUAUAUCUCUUCACUAUUGAAAAAUAAGGAAGUCUCAAUGACUUUCACGAGAAUAUUCAGGAAUUAUAACUAAGGUCUGCAAGUCUGGCUUAGAAGCAACUGCCUUCAGAAUGGCCAGUUAUUGCUGGUGACCAGUGUGAUAACUGAUCAGUAGAAACUCCACACCCUUGGAUGAGUCAUGUUUCCAGGCUGAUUACAUCUCUUUCACAGCAAACGGCCUUCUCAGGAGAGCCAGCUUAGCAUCUCACUGGAGCCAGACAGCCUUGGUAUUAGAGUGAUAGCAUAAGGGAUCCUUUCUGUUUGCUAUAAUAAGCCUCACUUCCUAUAAAGAAAGAAGUGGAGAGAUUUUGACUUUGCAAGACACUUCUAGAGAAAAAUUGGCCCACACAGUAGAGGAGCAGAAGGAGAACAACUUGGAUGUAUGCAUCAGACCUUGCCCCCUUGAAAAUCCUGAACCAGAGAGUGUGGCAGAUUACAGAUGACUGCAAAUUCAUUGAUAUUCCUCCUGUUGAGAGAGCCCUGAGUCACCAUUUAAGAAGUCCGACUACCCUGCUGAAGAGAUCACAUGGAGGGGCUCUGAGACUACAGCCUGAGAGCUGUUCCCACCAAGGUGUCAGGCUUGUGACUGAAGCCAUCUUGGAUGUUCCAGACUGGCCCAGGCCUCCAGACCUGGGCUGAAUUACAUCACCAGCUUUCCUGAUUCUUCAGCUUGCAGAUGGCAGAUUAGGGAACUUCUCAGUCUCCAUAAUCAUGUCAGCUGGGGCUCUGCUCUGCAUCUUCCUCCCUCUGGAACCCUAGCUGAGUGAGUGGUCACUAUCUGGAACAUUGCUGGCCAUUGUGACAGAGGGGGCACUGAGCUCUGGAGGGUUUCACACAGCAGGUCCUAAAACCUAGGAAGACUUUUCUGACCUUCCCCUGAAGCAGGCCUAAGACCCUCCUGUGAGAGACCAGGCUGGGCGAUAC
rnacentral:lncRNA from 1 species